CUUCACAAAAAAGCAAUAAAGAUUUUAUGCAAGAAAAUAAAAGAAAAUUUGGAAUACAAGAUUAUAUACAAAAGGAGGUAUACUGAGAAGAAGAUGGAGAUUAAAUCCCCUAAAAUGGACUCACUAGAGGGCUCGCAAGUCUGUAUCCCCUGGAGAAGUCACAAGCUGAGACAGAUGUGCUGCUGCCUGGAAUUGUUGUGGGACACAGUGAAUUUUUUUAAGGGCUUGGGAAUAUACAGCAGGCCAGAAUGAUACUAAGUGUUACAUGGACCGCCAUGUGCAGGAAGUGCUCCUGGACCCAUCAAUUCCUAGAGUGAGGGACAGGACUUCAGGUCGACAGUUCUGGAAUGAGACCUCUGACUUAGAGAUUUCAUGAGGAAGUCUCCCAACAAAGUUCCGCGCCACCCUGAACCCUCACAGCCACAGCGGAGUCUGGGAGACAGUUUGCUCUGCCUCUGCAGAGUGUCCAGUUUUGAUGUGUGAACCAUCCACAGAAAGCCCUAUAUACUUAUCCCCAACUGCCUUCAGUUUACUACCUCUGUCUCUUGGGGUGACAUACGUGGAGACCAUAUCAGGAGAUCCCCU
ensembl:lncRNA